rnacentral:rRNA from 1 species
UACGGGGGGGGCAAGCGUUGUUCGGAAUUACUGGGCGUAAAGGGCUCGUAGGUGGCCAACUAAGUCGGACGUGAAAUCCCUCAGCUUAACUGGGGAACUGCGUCCGAUACUGGAUGGCUUGAGUUUGGGAGAGGGAUGCGGAAUUCCAGGUGUAGCGGUGAAAUGCGUAGAUAUCAAGAGGAACACCAGUGGCGAAGGCGAGUCCCUGGACAACACCUGACACUGAGGCACGAAAGCUAGGGGAGCAAACAGG